GCGGCUUGGUCAUCUCCACCGUUCUGGAGCAGCUAAUGGUCCAUGAGGUGCGCGCAAAGGUCUCCAGGAGUAAAUUAAACAAGCAGAUGCAAGUUCCAUUCUGGACCCUCAGGUGCGCGGCUUGAUUCUGCCAGGAAGGAACCCAGAGUAGGAGCAAACAGCCGCUUUCGCAGAGAAGCUCUGAAGUAGCCUGAGUGGAGCCUCGGUAUUCCAGCAGCCUCGUCUGCUAGCCGGGGACUGGUAGAGCUUGGUUUCGCUGUUCCCGUUUCUCCUAGCUCAGGCCUUGCACUUUCGUUGUUUAAUGAACACUGGGCAGUGCGUUGCAUGGUUCGAAAUUAAAGUCAAACCCUUUUCUUUUAAAA
rnacentral:lncRNA from 1 species